CGCCUCUUGUCCCCCAAAAAUAAGAGGUCCUGCCUGCCCAGUGACUAUAGGUUCAACGGCCGCGGUAUUUUAACCGUGCAAAGGUAGCGUAAUCACUUGUUCUUUAAAUAAGGACCCGUAUGAAUGGCAAGACGAGGGCUAUACUGUCUCCUUUUUCCAGUCAAUGAAAUUGAUUUUCCCGUGCAGAAGCGGGAAUCGCCACAUAAGACGAGAAGACCCUGUGGAGCUUUAGAUGAUGAAGACAGACCUUGUCAAAGCCCCUUAAUUAAAAGGCUGAACUAAUAGAAUACUUCUCCCAUAUCUUUGGUUGGGGCGACCGCGGGGAUAAGAACAACCCCCAUGUGGAGCAGGAAGACCAACUUCCCAGACCCAAGAGCUACCACUCGAACUCACAGAAUUUCUGACCGAAAGACCCGGCAAUGCCGAUCAACGAACCAAGUUACCCCAGGGAUAACAGCGCAAUCCUCUUCUAGAGGCCCUAUCGACAAGGGGGUUUACGACCUCGAUGUUGGAUCAGGACAUCCUAAUGGUGCAGCCGCUAUUAAGGGUUCGUUUGUUCAACGAUUAAAGUCCU
rnacentral:rRNA from 1 species